rnacentral:rRNA from 1 species
GUUUAGAUUGUCUGGUCUAAUUAGAUUACUCUAGAGUAACCACAUGAAUCGCUAAUGUUAUCCGCCUGCUUUUGAGACGGCGUGCUGCGGAGGGUGGUAGCGUAGGGUAGGGGUGUUAGGGGCCGUGGGCGUGACGUUGAUAAGGGACGGGCCAAGAAGGGGUCCGCUGUCGGGCGGCUACGGAGAGUAGGGGCGUGAGCAGCCGUUGGGGACGGGGUGUUCCGGCGCCGGGGGCGGCUAGGAGAAGACGGCCUGUGCUCUCGUCCGGCGUCGGGGUCGGCAAGGAGGAGACGAUGAAGUCCAUGCGGUCGCGGCUUGUCUGUCGUGCCGGCGGCGACGGCGGGCGGCGAGGAGUAGCAGACGUGGGUACUUCAACGACGUUAAUUCCACAGUGAGGUCAUCCUCCCCGCGAUUCCUUCCGCGUAGUCCGUGCAACAACGCCGCCGGCACUUCCGGCCUCUUCUCCACCUACCCAAAGAGUGUCAAAGACACCGAGCGCCACAAGUAGGCUGAGAGAUCUUAUUGAUCUUUUACUCAAGGGUGUUAAGGAUGUAGUUUCCAACAUAGAAAGUCGUGAAACAAUAACCCGCACGGAUGAAUGAUUAAGAUAAACUAUUCAGUUGGACCCUUUGACGCCUUACCACGACUUACUUCAACAAUUAUACUAAAGAAAACACAAACGAUGACUAUAUAGAGAUUUGAACGUAAAGAGACGAUACAAACAGACAGUCUCGACAACGAGCUAUUCCGACUGCACGUGGUUACAUUUGAAGUCUAACUCGAAUGUUGUGCCACUCCCAAAUGGAACUAAGACGUACUACGGCCUGAUGGUUGUAAAGUCUAAAGUGACGUUCGUGUAUAAAAAGAGACUUGAAACCUCGACUUAGUUCUCAUUGGUGACUCAUAAAGUCAAUAAAAGGCCGCUCAGUAUGAUGGAGUUAAUUUGACGGGGUCGUAGUAUAUAAAUCCUUACCUCCAUCAUGUAGUCUGAAUUACGUCUAGCUGGUCGACUUUCAAAUAAAAAUACUAUACAAAUAAUGAACCACUAAGGUCGACUACAUGUUGUUUUUAACACACUAGGUCGUACUACAAGAAGGACAAGAUGUCCAAGUAAGAUUACGUAAUACAAACCGACGGGGCAAGUGUCUAUAUGUCCAACUUAAGAAGCAAGAAAUAAUAUCCGGCCAAGUACACGAAACUGAACACUAGACCCAGCCGCGUAGAUAAUAAAAGCCAGCGUUUACACGCGAUCGAGUACGGAGAGAACCCACUAUAUUAGAAAAACCCCAAAGAGUAUUUGACGUCACAUACAUAAUACGUCUACUUGUUUUGGUAAGUCCAAGGCGUAGGUGGGUAGUCCAAGAGAUAAUAUGACGUCCUCCUUUAGGAAAGAAUAACUGGGAAGUUCGCCAUCAGAAAAUCUCCGUCGAAAACACGAAAAGGGAAGGCGACCUUGACGUACGUCUCAAACUCAAGUACCUCACGGAAACCGGAAGUCUUUCUUCUUCUUAUUUACAAAGCAGCAACUAGAAAGAAUACAAAGAUCCACGUAACAAAAUCCAAUACGGGAGUAUACGUCUCUACCUUUUAGUGUGUAAAACGUAGGUCGAAAGUUACCCUUAUUUAACUUAAAACAAAACUUCGAACGGCUACUUAGUUCUUAUAUAGAGACUUUCGACGAAGAAAAAACGUUUUUUUUUUUCUUCGACUAAAUUCGUAGUAACGUUAAGUUUUGGAUGUGUCAUAAAUAAAGACGUAAAUAAACUUCUACUCUUAUAUGACUGAAGUUAUAGCUCACAGCUAGGUAACAAAAGACGUCCAUUCAUAAUAAAAAAUAAAGGAUUUUUCCUAAACUUAUAGUAAAACUAGACAAUAACUGACUCCUAGUCGUAGAACAUGUCAUACUUAAAUACCAAGGAGGAAAAAAAUAGAGCCAGGAUUUUACAUGUCAUACUAAAAUACCUCACGUAAUACGGUUACCUAAUGACGUAAAAAUACAAUCAAAAAUCUGAUAAACUUACAUUCUUGAUAUGUAUUAGAGAAACUGUUAGAUGCCGUUUAGUAAAAGACGUGUCUUUUAAGUCAUGUACGAAGACACUUAUAGACGUUAUGUUCUUCGUAUUAACAAGAAUAUACAACCGGACGGCUAACCAUAACCGUCGGAACGUACGUACAAAAAUUUUAAGAAUUAGGUUCGCGGUGAAGACAUCAUUUAUUCGACUUGAAACUAAAUUUAUUGAUUUACAACCAAACGGCUUCAAAAGAACACUGGCUUGGUGACUUAAUACCUUGAAGGUAACACGUCAAAAAUGUAUACCAGUACGUCAGUAAAACCGAUAAAUAUACAUUGUUGUGUAACAGGUCAAACGUUCUGCAAGACAGAUAUCCAAGAAGACAUGAAUAGAACACAAAUUAUCCAAACUGACAACAAGGAGAUGAUAUGUUGAAGUAGAAAAUCAUAGCUGGUUAUGAAGUAUCAGUCAUGUACCAAGAAGUUAUGACACCAUUGUUAACUCCCCUUAUAAUCCCGAAAUACAAUAGAAUGGUAUUAUAGGUUAUUUUUACUAAGAGAAGAAGUUAUGGACAGAUUGGUGGAGACUGUACAAUAAACAACCGAAUCGGACAUGAGAAAAGUGUCUCUCCACAGCUCAACACUACGUUCCAAAACGGUACAACAACCACUUUUCUAUAGCUGUAGCUUCUGAUAUAUGAGCCUAGCGUACCGUACAAAUCCUUGGUACCGAGAUGAUGAUGAUGUGUAGGUGAUCGGUAACAUCAGUAGAUGACUUUAAAUCAGUUUUAGCUAUAAACAUUCAACUUUUAAAGAAAAACCGCCCGAUUUUCCUGCCUUCAACACGCCCUUCUCUGACAACAAUAAAUUUCGGUUAAUAACAACAACUCAGUGAAGGAGAAAGAGAACGACCAUACGCCAAUAGGUAUACUAUUGACAAUAACUUUUACGUUGAUGGAUGGGUUCGAGUCGUUCGUAAUUGAUAAAAAACAGAAGUAUCAAGUGAAAAUUAGAAGUAUAACGUCAUAAAUAAGUUAAUAAAUUAAAUUACCAGUGUAACGUCAUAAGGAACCUUGAGAUCUGACUGAACAUCCACUCAAUUAAUCCUUAGGUAAAGAUUAAAGACCCUACAGGCGUUUCGUUGGUUUGAACAUGACCCUCCCUGUAAGAACAACCGGAAGAUAAACUUCUUCGAGCGAUACAUGUGGUGUACAGUCUCACCAACAAGGGGAUGAGGUAUCCCUACACUAUGAGUCUCCGCAACCAACUCUGCUACUGCUGCCGUUUUCUCUAUCUACUAAUACUCUUCAAUCUGAACAUUCUCUUAUUAGUAUAAUGAUUGUUAUCUACAUCUAGAACUCAUCUAUCUUUGUAAUUUAUCACUAACAUUGGUUCAUGAACUUGUACAAUAAGUUCUAAAUAUCUUAUUUUUCCCGUGAUUACCAAACUUUGUACUUACGUUAUGGAAAAGAAACCACUUUUUAGUUGAAAAACAUAUGUUAUUAAGUAAAAUUUAUAAAGAACGACGAUAGUAUAAUAGGAAAAUGUAUGCUUAAAAG